rnacentral:rRNA from 1 species
UACGUAUGGAGCAAGCGUUAUCCGGAUUUAUUGGGCGUAAAGGGAACGCAGGCGGUCUUUUAAGUCUGAUGUGAAAGCCUUCGGCUUAACCGGAGUAGUGCAUUGGAAACUGGGAGACUUGAGUGCAGAAGAGGAGAGUGGAACUCCGUGUGUAGCGGUGAAAUGCGUAGAUAUUAGGAGGAACACCAGUGGCGAAGGCGGCCUGCUGGACGGUGACUGACGCUGAGGCUCGAAAGCGUGGGGAGCAAACAGG